UACGUAGGGGGCAAGCGUUGUCCGGAAUUACUGGGCGUAAAGCGUGCGCAGGCGGUUAUGCAAGACAGAUGUGAAAUCCCCGGGCUCAACCUGGGAACUGCAUUUGUGACUGUAGAGCUGGAGUGCGGCAGAGGGGGAUGGAAUUCCGCGUGUAGCAGUGAAAUGCGUAGAUAUGCGGAGGAACACCGAUGGCGAAGGCAAUCCCCUGGGCCUGCACUGACGCUCAUGCACGAAAGCGUGGGGAGCAAACAGG
rnacentral:rRNA from 1 species